CCUACGGGUGGCAGCAGUGGGGAAUAUUGCGCAAUGGGCGAAAGCCUGACGCAGCGACGCCGCGUGAGGGAUGAAGGUCUUCGGAUCGUAAACCUCUGUCAGCAGGGAAGAACGGUCACUGUGCUAAUCAGCAGGGAAUUGACGGUACCUGCAAAGGAAGCACCGGCUAACUCCGUGCCAGCAGCCGCGGUAAUACGGAGGGUGCGAGCGUUAAUCGGAAUUACUGGGCGUAAAGCGCUCGUAGGCGGUAUGUCAAGUCAAGGGUGAAAUCCCCGGGCUCAACGUGGGAACUGCAUCUGAAACUGGCAGACUGGAGUGUGUGAGAGGAUAGUGGAAUUCCAGGUGUAGGAGUGAAAUCCGUAGAUAUCUGGAGGAACAUCAGUGGCGAAGGCGACCACCUGGACGAUAACUGACGCUGAGGAGCGAAAGCGUGGGUAGCAAACAGGAUUAGAUACCCUUGUAGUC
rnacentral:rRNA from 1 species